GGUUCUCAGAAAGGAUAGGCUUUCGAAUAGUGGAAUCUUGAGGUCUUUGACUCCUUUGCUUAAGGAAAGGAAUAAGGAAAGCAUUCUAAGAAAGACAGGUCAGCUAAUGAUUCCGUUGUGGUCAAGAGCUCAAGUACCGAAGAUGAGGCAUACCAUACUCAACCAAUAAGGAAGGGCUGCAAGAGGAGGCUCAAAGAAUCCCACGGAGCGGGAGGACAAGAACUGAGUAUUUUACUAUCAAAUUGGAUAUGUCAGCAAGAGAAGAAGAAGAAAACUGGACAUGGCUUUGGCCCUAUGCUAGCUGGAAGUUUGCACGUAAAAUCAGUCUUUUUGGACGUUGCAGAUAGGCCUCUGAAAACGACCUCUACAAAAGGAAGAGAAGACCGUCGAUAUUAAUAUGCGCUAGUCGCAGUGGAAGUGGCUGCUCAUGAGGCUCAAAGAAUUUGAGGAUCGCUCUUUCAUUCGUUACCGCUCCGUGGGUCGCAAAAAGAUGUUGUGAGUGAGUUAUUUCAGCUCCACGCUUUCGUUCCCUCGAAUCAAAAUUCAAUCAAGUAAAGCCUUACUUAAAACUUCAAAAAUGAAUUCUUUUUUUUUUUAUUUCUUCCGCAAAAUUUGGCACGGGAACAGUGAAGCUUCAUAGGGUCUUUCUGUCCAGGUGCAGGUAGUCCGCAUCUCCAGGAUCGUCUUUUAGGAACUAUCUAGUUUGCCAUCAUGCUUUUUUAUAUGGGCAACAGAGCCUGUCGAGCUAUCGCCACGCUCGUACUUUCCAGUUCUUGUAGUUUUUGCCUAUAGAGUGUCAACUCAUGCCAAAGGUCUUUGGCCUUUAGAAGAAGUCUGAAGGAUGAUGAAUUUGUAGAUUUUCCAUCACUGCUUUCCCUUCUCUCUUCUGAAAAAGUGGUAAACUCCACAAUUUUAGAUCAUGGUCCAUUGAUCCUCAAGGCCGAUUUUCUGUUAAGUCUCUUUGAACUCACUUAAAAUCUGACUCCCCAAUGGAUAAACGUCUUUUUUCAGCAAUUUGGAAAACAGGCAGCCCUCGAAGAGUCAAUAUUUUGAUUUGGAUUAUGGUCUUCGGGUCCCUCAAUUGCUCUGAAAUCUUGCAAAAAAGUCCAGGUGUGCCUCCUGAUCCCUCUAGGUCUCCUUUGUUAACUACUUCUUUUUGGCUCUCUUUGUAUAACUCUCUUGUACUUUGGGUUCUUAUUAAUAAAGAAGUUCUUGUCUCCGUUUAAAAAAAAAACGCUUGCAAAAAUUCAGUUAUGGGUAAUCCGUUGAGGUCACCGCAUCAAUAACAUCACCUUCCUGAGAAAUUCUUGUAUAUGGGCUUCUAAGAAGCGGAUGGAGUAGGAACUUCUACUAGGGAAAGCAUCUUCAAGCUCUACCAAUUGGUCCAAAUGGGACUUGCCCAUCUUUUUCGUUGCAAAUGUUGCGUCUCAACUGCAAAGGAGCCGACGAGGCUUUGUUACCACUUGUCACAAUCGCAACCUUUCGAACACAGAUGGGCAAUUGUACGACACUUGUUCUAAUCUGACAAAAAGGUCAGCCAUACGAAAUCCGAAAGUUGCGGACAAACUCGCUAUAUGAUAUAGUCUCCUUUAACGUUUUGAGAGAAAAUGAUUUUAUAAAAUGUGAGAUAGUAAAGGUAGUAAACAUCAUUAAGGAAAGGAUUGAAAAUUGACAAUUGCAAAGUAAGCUUAGAUUGCAAAGAGUACUACAAGGCUCGGUUAGGUCUCCUGUACAGUACAUUUAAACAAUUUUAAAUGUUAUAGGCUUGCAUUUGCUAAAGUGCGAGCGGUUACUUACAUGAAAAAUAACAUAGAAAUGAAAACUACUUACUAAACUAAAUACAUGGCUUAAAUAUAGGGUGGUUGAGAAUGGUUUUGGGAAUGCAACCGUAGGUAUAUCCACCUUAAAAUCUUGUUUUGUUUUCUGGUUUUCUUUUUUCCCCCUCCCUUUGGGAAGUUUUUAUUCUUUGAACAUUUUCCUCUUUAUUCUGUCAUGAGAAGUUGUUUCUUGGUUUUUAAAAAAGAAAAUAUAUUGAUUUGUGUUUAUAACAAAGUCAUUGACCUUUGUUUUUGGUCUUGUAUUAGUAUUGUCACUUUGCUGUGAUUUGCUUUUCCUACGAAAAAAGGAUGUUGGUUUGUGCUAAAACUAGGGUGAUAUUUUUCUAGGAUCCUUAAGUACAGGAGAUGGGGAAAAUUUUGAUGCAUUAUAUGCUACAUGCUUGAGAAGAUUCUCUUACAUCCGUUGCUAUGACAGUUUUGAAUUCCUUGCCACUCUCAAGGUAAGAUUCUUCUUAUUUUAAAGAAAAUUAGCCUUCUGCAUGCAUUUCAUUCAUUCACAUUUUUUUCUAAUUUUAUAAGAAACAAUUUUCAUUGAUAAAUGAAGUAACAAAAGAGAAGGGAGUAAAGGCUCAGUCUAAAAGCCAAAGAUGUUAAAACUAUUUGUAAAAAUAAAUUGUUAAAUGUACAUAACUUCAUAGCUUAUAGUUUAGGUUCACUGGUGAUUUAACAUGGUAUCAAAGUAGUGGGUCUUGUGUGAACUCUUGUAAUUUCAUGCUGUCACCUCUUUUUGUUUUUUUUUUUUCGGUUCUUUGGAAGGUGAAAAUUCUAAAAAAGAUGACAUUCUUUAUCUGGCCGUUUAUGGAAGAAUCAAUAUCUUGGAUAGGCUUUCGAGAAAGUUGCUAUCUCUGGGUCGUUUUCAUUGUAUUUUUUGUCGGAGUAUGGAAGUAGAUUCGAAUAAUUUAUUCUGGAGCUGUAAUUAUGUUGAAUUGGUUUUGAACUAGUUUUUUUUGGAAUAUUUGACGUCAGAGUUAGCCCAACACAGAGCUUUUAGUGACAUGAUCAGGGAGUUCCUUCUCCAUCUGUCAUUUGGGGAAAAGAGAGUUUCUUACGGAAGGCCAUGAUCCAUGUUUGUUGUAGAAUAUUUGUGGGGAGAGAAAUAAUAGGACUUUUAGUGGGAUUAAGUGGGAUCUGAUUGAUGUUUGGUCCUUUGUGAAUUUUAUGUUUCUCUUUAGGCAUUAGUGACAAGGUCCUUCUGUAGACUAGGUAAUAUUUUGUUAGAUUGGGGCCUUUCUUUAGGGUGCUCCCUGUUGUGGUCUUUGCUUUCUUGUAUGGCAUCUUUCAAUUUUUUUUUUAAAUGAAAGUUGGUUUUCUAUAAAAAAAACGAAGCCUAUAAUUACAUAAAAGGGGAAGCAACAAUGCAACAUUCUCUGUUGGUCUCUCUUCUCACUUCUUUUGCUCCUUGAUAUCACGCCCAAAAAAUGACUUACAAAUUUUUUCGUGAAUUAAGGCUCUUUAGCAUUGUCUGAGAGGAGCCAAAUAAGUCCCAAGCUGUCCAAAGGUCCAAGGAAGAAGAAUAAAGACACGCCAACACUUUGACAUGCCCAUGUGCACGACAUGCGCGUGUGGGCGCGCGGGUGCAAGGAAGGCAGACAGACAUAGGCAGGCGCGCGCGCAAGGCCUAGACGGAUGCGCAUGUGGCACCUGCGCACGUAAGAGACGGAUGUGGGAACGAGCACGACGUGCGCCUAGAAGGAUCGAGAAACCUCUCAAAGAUUCCAGAAAGUUCGUGAGCGGACGCGAAGCUUCACAGACGCCCGACAAGUGCGCUUGGAUGCGAAAGGCCCUGGAAGGCCUGCGCACACGCCAUACCUCCAGAACCUCCUAGAUGCGCCCAGUGUUGGCCAGAUGGUGUCAUGAUCGCUUGGGAAUGAUCUAGAACUUGUUUGCCGACCUUGUAAGGCAGUUUAGGGCUUGGAAUGUCGGUUGUAAACAUCAAUAAAUACCCCCAAAGGGGCUCAUUUGUAACUAUCAUUGGAAAUCAAUAAAACUCUCUUCAACAUUUCAUCAAACACCUUCUCUAUCGCUCUUGCCUACGUUUUUCCUUCUUCUUUUAAGUGCCCUAGCAAGUCCCAUAGCCUCUUUAGGCUUACGUUGGUGCAACCUCAACACCUUUGUGUCACGCGUUAGUUAAGUUGAGAAAAUAACCACGUGACAGGUGGUUCAGAAAUUUUGCAAAAGAAAUCCCCCAAUAAAUGUUUCUCUCCUUUGAUCUGUCCUCUUUGAUUGAAGGCUAGCGAGAACCUUUAUCACAUUUUCUUGUACUGUUCCGUUUCUUCCUUUGGUUGGGAGAGGAUUUUCUCCUUGUUCAAUUUAGUUUGGACUUCUGAUCGUUCACUAAGCGCUAGCGUGGUUCAGUUGCUGUCGGGUCUAAUUUUACCCAAAAAAUUUUGCAUCAUAUGGGAAUAUUUGUCAAAAGCUUUACUAAGAAUUAUGGUUUGAGCAAAAUCAACGUAUCUUCCAUGAUAAAGCAAGACAAAGGGCAGAAAUUAUACGUGUAGUAGAUCUUAAUGCUGCAGCUUGGUGUUCCUUAAAAAAGGAGUUCAUUAAUUGUUCCAUUCAAGAUAUUUACCUCAACUGGAAUGCCUUUCUCAAUCAAGCCUAAGCGUUGUUGCAUCAGUUUCACUGCAUUGCAGAUUUCACAAUUUGAAGCUUUGAAGGAUUGGCUAUGUUUAAAGUUUUAAUUUUGAGAUGUAUUAUUGUCUUCUUUCUGUUUUCUGUUUCUGUUUUUUUUUUCUGGACAUGUUUUCUUGUUUUUUCUGGACCCUUGUAACAGGCUGGACAUUAUUAUAAUUGUUCCUCUAUUGGCUUUUGCCUUUGUAUUUUCUUUCGGGAUAUGAUGAUUGGUGCUAAGAGGGUGUUAACCUAGUUGAGAUGUUUGGGUGCACCUCCUGAUCCCCUUAGGACUCCCUCGAUUACAUCUUCUUUAUUGCUCUCUUUGUAUAACUCUCUUGUACUUUGAGAUCUUAUUAAUAAAGAAGUUGUCUCCAUUCAAAAAUAAAAUAAAAUUUUAUGCCAUGUAUUUAGUUUAGUAAGUUAGUUUUCUUUUCUACAUUGGUUUCCAUGUACGUGACUGCUCGCACUUUUGCUUGUGCUAGUCUAUCACAUUUAAAACUGUUUAAAAUGUACAAUAGAGGAGGCCCACUGGUCAUAUCUCUGACUAAGUUUUGUUGUACUCUUCAUAAUCUAAGCUUUCUUGCAAUUGAUAGUCUUAAAGGCUUUCUUUAAUGAUGUUUACCAAGCUUUUCUUUCUCAUUCACAUUUUAUAAAACCACUCUCAAAACGUGAAGGGAGGCUACAUCAUAUAGCGAGUUUGUUCGCGACUUUUGGAUUUCAUACGACCGACUUAUUCACCGGAUUAGAGAAAGUAUUGCACAAUCGCCUAUCUUGUGUAUGAAAAGUUGCGAUCGUGACAAGUGUUAUCAGAGCCUCGUUCGCUCCAUGACGAUUAAGAUGCAAACAUGUCUGCAACGAAAUAGAUUACUAGAGCUUUAAGAGAAGAUGCUCUAUCAAUUAGAAAUUCUUGAUUCCGUCCACUUCUUAGACACCUGUAUACAAGAAAUUUAUGAGAAAGCUGAUGCCAUUGAUGCGGUAACCGGUUGCCUCAACAGAUUACCUAUAACUGAACUAUUGCCAAGAGUUGACAAUCUAGAGGCAAAAACUACAAGAAUUGAAACUUGAGCAUGGGGACAACUCGAUGGGCUCUGUUGCACAUAUAGAAAAGCGUGUUGGCGAGUUAGAUAGUUCCCAAAAGACGAUCCUGGAGAUGAUAAAUGGCACGUUAGAAGAUUUUCGAGCUGCUCUCGUUGUCGUUAGAAAUGAGAUUGCAGAUGUGAGCACAAGGGUGAACCUCAGAUGCAAGCCAUGGUAAGUCACGCUCCAACAAGAGGAAUGAUUCAGGUUAACCGAAUAAAAAUUCCUGAACCUAAGCCCUUUUGUGGGGCAAGGGAUGCAAAAGACUUGAAGAACUCUAUCUUUGACCUCGAGCAAUACUUCAAGGCAACAAACACAGUCACAGAAGAAGCAAAAGUGACGUUUGCAACUAUGUAUUUGAUUGAGGAUGCAAAAUUAUGGGGGAGGUCCUGGUGUGUUGAUUCUUAGGAAGGGCGUUGCACGAUAGAUACUUGGGACAGUUUGAAGAAGGAACUCUGCUCACAAUUCUUCCUCCAAAAUGUUGAAAUCCUAGCUUGACGGAAAUUGUAAGACUAAAACAUACAGGCAACAUUCUGGAGUAUGUGAAACAGUUCACGAGACUGAUGUUAGACAUAUGUGAUAUAUUAGAGAGAGUUUUUUUUUUUUCUCGAAGGUCUAGAAUCGUGGUUAAAGACCAAGUUGUACAAGUAUAGAGUACAAGACCUCCCUUCUGCUUAUGCAGCUCCCGAAUGGUUGUUUGAUUUGUCCAACGACUCUUAAGAUGUGAGACGUCACCAAAAUUCCACAUCUGGAGGAAACAUGAGUAUUCACUCGACUUCUCCUACGGUUGUUGGGAGAGACAAUCGUAAGCCUUUCCAGCAAAGUUCGGGAAAAACACGGCGAGAACCUAAUCAUCAGAAAUCAUAUAAAUGUCCUCCAUUUGUUACCUAUGCAGGGGUCCACAUAUGGUGAGGGAAUGUUCGAAUCGAACACCUUCAAUGCCUUUUAGGCCUCUCUAACUUUAGACUCAGAAAACAAGGCUUUCUAGAAUAUGGCGAAGUUACUUAGAUGGAGGAAGGUGCAGUUCUAGAAUCUGGGCCUUCAACUUCAUAUCGUUUCUUCAAAAGAAGGUGGGAGAGACAAACAGGCUUAUGGAAGAGGGUCCAAUCUAUUUUGACACUUGGAUCAACCAGAAACCAACCAAGAGUACCAUGGUCGACUCUAGUGCAACUCAUAACUUCAUGACAGAGAAAUAAGCUAGAUGGUUGAACCUCCACCGGGAAAAGGAUGCAUGGAGAAUGAAAGCCAUAAACUCUGUCGCCUUACCUAUCAUCAGAAUUGUGAAACGAACCAUGAUAAGGUUGGGAGGAUGGAGUGGCCCUAUUGAUUUCGUGAUUGUGAAAAUGGAUGACUUUGAUAUUGUAUUGGGAAUGAAAUUUUUGCCCUCGCCAAGUGUUUGGUGAUCCCUGGAUCUACCCUCACUGUUGUUUGGACAAACACUCGUCAUCUGAAUGGGUUGAAAAUGAUUUUGGCCCUUCAACUGAAGAGGGGCCUUGCCCAUGAUGAACCCAUGUUUAAGGGCAUCCUGGUUGAAUCAUCUAAAACUACGACAGAGACAGUUCCUGAAGACAUUCUAUGUGUCUUAGAGAAGUAUCGAGAUAUUAUGCCAAAUAGUUUGCCCAAGUCUCUACCUCCACGAAGAAUGAUUGAUCUUGAGAUGGAAUUGCUAAUGGGGGCAAAACCGCCCGCCAAGAAUGCAUAUUGUAUGACACCACCAUAGUUAGCUGAACUUCAAAAACAACCGGACGAGUUGUUAAAUGCAGAGUUUAUCAGAUUAGCAAAAGUUCCUUGUGGGGCCCUAGUUCUAUUCCAAAAGAAGAAAGAUGGAAGCUUACGGUUAUACAUCAACUAUCAAGCCUUGAACAAACUCAUGAUUCACAACAAAUACCCAUUUCCUAUAAUUACUGACCUAUUCAAUCGCUUGCAUGGAGCCAAAUAUUUUUCGAAGUUAUACUUGCAAACGAGAUACUAUCAAGUGCGAAUUGUUGAAGGAGACAAGCCAAAGACAAUGUGUGUCACGAGGUACAAGGCAUUUGAAAUCCUUAUCUUCCUACAUCAAAGCAAAUUGCUGAUGUCGAGGUUGAUAAUUAUCUUUUUAAAGAGAAAAUUGAAGCAGGAACGAUAUGUAUUCCUUAUCUUCCUACAUUAGAGAAAAUUUCCGAUGUCCUAACUAAAGGCGUUCGAAAGAAACAAUUUGAUAGAUUGAUUGACAAGCUGGCUGUGGAAUACAUCUUCAAACCAGCUUGAGGGGGAGUGUUGGAAUUUUUAUAUUUGUAUAUACCUAUUAUUGUCAAAUAUUUAUCCUUCAUUGCUUUUAUUCUUUCCUUGUUUGUAAAAGGUCUUUCUCCUAUAUAAGAAGACCAACAUUUCAUAUAUUUAAUAACAAGGAAAAACAAUUUAACUCUCUCAAAUUUAAGUGGUUUGGAGGACCCUAGUGUAAGUUUGAUCCUUAGUGAGGUUUUUUGUUUCUUUUUGUUCUUCGGUUUUGAAGUCAUUUUUUUUGUAAUUUAUCCCUUGGUAACAUUUUAUUGAGUUGGAAGCCCUUUUUGUAGAAGGCUUGUUUUUUUUGUAUGGCCUUGCAUUCUUCCGUUCUUUCUCAAUAAAAGUUGAUGCUUCUAUAAAAGAAAAAACCUUACCAUGAAGCCUGGAAGUUACAGGUGGCAAUAUCUUCUAUAUUGAACCUUCAAAUUGUAGAUUUCUUCCAAUUGAUUUUAAAACCUGAUAAUUUCAAAAAUCUGAUUGCCGUUAAAAGUUACACAACUUUUCUGAUUAAAAAAUUCCACUCUUUUGAUUCAGAUUUCCAGCAUUUUAUAUCUCGGUUUUUUUAUUAGCUGCAGUACUCUUAGUUGGCUCUCCACAAUUAUGUUCAACCUCCACUGUAUAAAUUUCUCUAUAUAAUUCUUUAGAGCUUUUGGCUUUCAGACCAUGCAUCAUAAACUUCAAAAAGAAAGAGACAGCCUUGGAGUUGGGUUACAUCUACUUGUGAUCGACAGGUUUGUGCUAAAAAAAUUUAGAACCUUGUGGUUUGUCUCCUGCUAGAUAGAUUUUUCAGUUUCUCCUUACAUGUGAUAUAUUUCAUGAACCUGAGACGGUGAAGAUGUAUGCAUUAUAUGUGUGUAUAUAUAUUUUUUCUUUCACUUUCAUGCCAUUUUUUUUCUCUUUUGAAACAGGAACCACCCUCCCUUUUUUAGUCAAUAGAAUCAACAACUUUUCAAGGGACACAUUAAAUCUCACUAGGGUCCCUAUCAUUUUUUGAAAAGGAAAAGGAGCCUCUUAUUGGUAAAUACCAGUUGAAAAAUUUCUAAAAAUAUGGUCCAGAAUUCAGAAUGAAUUUUAACGCUUAUAUUCUUUGGGUGAUUGAUUUCUUGUUUCCGUCGAGGUGUGUGGUUUAGGAUGGUGUGGGAAGUUUUCUCCUCUCUCUCUCUCUUCUCUCCGCCAUCUCUUUCCUUCCCUUCCGUUCAUCUUUCUCAGUUCUUCAGCGAUCGCUCAGUUCUUCAGUGAUCGUCUAGCCAUUUUAUUUUGACUGCUCUGUCAUAAUCAAUGAUGAAAAUAGAAAACUGCAAAAUAGUUGACUCUUUUUCUGUAUUUGGUAUGAAAAUGGAUUAUUCCAAGUUGUAGACGUGGACACCCACAAAACCCUGCCUGUAGACAAAGUUCCAACUCUGUUGGUUCCAAGAAGUUAUUUUAGAACUAAGCCAAAAACCAGAAAAUCAGUACUUUCUCAAGAAAGGAAAGGUCGAAAAUGGAAUAAAAGAAGUAUCUAAAUUCAGAGCCACAAAAGGUUGGGUUUUGAGACACACCGUGUGGCCUCGUACAGGAGGUAGAUCCUUCAUUCAUGUUCUCUCGGGAGAGGAAAAACAGGGUUGGAAACUUUCCUUCAAUUGCUAGAAGGCUUCAAGCCGAAAAGCCACAUACAUUCCUCUGUUUCAGAUCUGGAAAAACAGAGCAUGAGUUGAUACUGGGUUAUAAAGAAUCCAGAAGUUUACAAAGCUGAUUUCAACAAUCUUUGGAUUGUGAAACAACUGUUUGUGUUUGAUGAAUUGCCAGGAAUAGCUAGCACACUAAAAUUAUACUUUCGAUACUAACUUCACUCUUAAUCCUCUAUGUGCCUUAAUCCAAUUGGAUCAAGAUGAUUUUGAAGAUUUAGUUGAGUAUCUAGGGAAAUCGCAAGAAUGUGGUCAGUUUCAAUUGAAAUUUGAAAAUGGAACACGCAGUUACAUGGUUGACCAAAUGUAAUGAAAGGGUACGGUGGGUAGAUCUCGAUUAAAAACCUACCAUUAGACUAUCAGAGCCGGUAAACUUUUGAAGCUAUUGGGUCUUACUUUGGUGAAUUAGAAUCUCUUGCAAAUGAAACCUUGAAUCUUCUUAAUGUUGCUGAAGCAAAAAUUAAAAGAAACUGAUGUGGUUUUAUGCCAUCUAUCAUAGAUAUUACAGAUAGAACAGAGGCAACGUUUUUCUGAAUUUUGGAGUUACAGAAUUUUUGGACCCCUCCAUCAAAGUUCAAGGUGCUUUGUCUACUAAUGAUUUUUCAACCCAUUUGAUUUAGUUUGGACCCUUCCUAGUCUCAGCCUGUGUUAUUUUGGUGGACUUUCAUAGUUUGUACUUUUUAUGUUCUUUCUUGGUUAUAGGAUAUGAUGUUUUGGUGCUAAGGGGGUGUCAAUCUAGUUGAGAUGUCCGGGUGCACCUUUUGAUCCCCUAGGUUUUUUGCUUUAUGCUUUUUAUUAUACUCAAUGUGUAUACCUCCUGUACUUUGAGAUUUUAUCAUUAAUAAAGUUCUCCUUUUAAAAAAACAAGUUAUUAACGACAAAUAAAUAAAUUCUUCUGGUUUGAAUCUAGAAUGGACUUUUCAAGCUGCUCCAUGUAAUCCAAUUUCUUUUUCAAGAAACCCAUUUGCAUCUUGUAUGAAGAAGCUUCAAAAGAAAAAUAUGACACAGAACCCACUGGAAAAUAACAUCAGAGUCUCUGGCAUCUAUCUUCCUGCUGAAGAUAGACGAAUCAAGAAGAAGAGACCAGAUUCGGGAUAAUGUUGUAAGGCCCCCAAUUGUUCACACUUAUAAAAGAAGGGACAAAAGGGUAAAUGUACAAGCAGCUAAUGAUGGAAAAAGAUCGGGCUAGUGGGGCCUAUGGGCAGGAAUGAGUGAAUGAGGUAUAAAUAGGUCUUUCCGGGAUCGUAGCUAGGUCUAUUAUUAUCUUUUUUGUAAAAGUCGGCUGCUGUAGCCUGGGGAAGAUAUUCAGCUGGGGUAUGGGGGGUUGGGUAUGUUCUUUUAUGUUUUCCCUUGUUAUUCUGGAUAUUUUGACUACUGUAAUCGAUUUUGGCCUAUAUAUAAAUAAAAUUUAGUUAGUACUGCCUCUGUUUUGCCAAUGUGUGUGGGUAUUUUAGUGUUAUAUCAGUAGAUUCUCUAUAACUGGUAUCAGAGCCUCAACAUUGGAGGUGGUAAUGCGUCAGAUGGCUCAAAGACAGAUUGAAGAAAGGGUUAAUGGAACGGAAAAGGAAAUCAUGGGCUUGAAGGAAAUGAUCUUGGAGAUGAAGAAAUCUAUGGACAGGCUGACUGACGAAAUGCGAGAAAGCCACAAUUGCAAAAGAAUAGAGGAGUCCGAAACUUCAGAUGGGUCGAUUAUGAAACUCAAAGGGAAGGUAGAUGACACGGAGAUGACAAUGGAACCCAAUAUGGGUAACACAGACCGUAGUAAGUACAAGAAAGUUGAGAUGUCGAUGUUUACUGGGUUGAAUCCCUAGUCCUGGACAUUCUGAGCAGAACAUUUUUCCAAAAUUAAUAACCUACCUGAAGCGGAGAAAGUCAAAGUGGUAGUGGUUAGCUUUGGACAAGAAGAGGUAGAUUGGUACCAGUGGAGCCACCAUCGAAAGAAGGUCGAAUCCUGGGAGGACUUGAAAGGAAGAAUGUUCGAAUUCUUCAAUGACACAGGACAACAGAGUUUAGGUGCAUGACUUAUUCGCAUAAAGCAAGUGAGGUCCUAUAGUGACUAUGUCAAGAAGUUCGUCACUUAUUCAACGCCAUUGCCUAACAUGGCGGAAAGCGUGCUCCAGGACACUUUUUUUACCGGUCUUGAACCCUCACUCCAGGUUGAAGUGAUUAGUAGACACCCCCAAACCUUAGAGGAGUGUAUGAGGGAGGCACAACUUGUGAACGACAUAAAUUUGGCUUUGAAACUGGCCAAAGCAGAGUGGAGCAUAAAGGAGGAGAGAGUGCAUGCAAGAAUCAAGGCAACAAUGAGAAAAAUAAAUCAAGGAAGACUGAAUUUGCGAUGAAGCAGAUAACCAUUCCGGUUAAGGGGAGUUAUCAAAAGAAUGAACUACCGGUUAAGAGGUUGUUAGAUGCAGAGUUCAGGGCAAGUCUAGACAAGGGGUUGUGCUUUAGGUGUAAUGAGAAAUACUCAGUCGGCCAUAGAUGUAAAGUGAGCAAAAAGAGAGUUGAUGCUUUUCAUACUCAAUAAGGAAGAGAGUAAUGAGGAGGAGGCUUCUGCAGAGGGGGAGACAGAGGAAGUGAUAGAGUUAAAUCAAAUAGAUUUGGCUGAGGAUACUGAGAUUGAAUUAAGAACUAUCACAUAAUUCACACCCAAGGGAACAAUGAAGUUGAAAGGAAAGGUGAAAGGGAAAGAGGUAGUGAUCCUUAUUGAUAGUGGCACGGCCAAUAACUUUAUCAGGGAGGGAUUGGUUGAAGAACUCCGGUUAGACAUUGAACCAGGCACCCAAUUUGGAGUGACCAUUGGGGAUGGCACGCGUUGCAAGGGAAGAGGAAUAUGUAAGAGAGUAGAAUUGAGAUUGUAAGAGUUAACGUAGCUGACUUUUUAGCUGUGGAGUUGGGAAACGUUGACCUUGUGUUGGGAAUGCAAUGGCUAGAUACCAUUGGAACCAUGAAGGUGCACUGGAAAAGUAAGGGAAAUAUCAAUGGACUAAUGGAAAGCUGCUGCACAAAGGAAGAGUAGUAUUGUCCAAGAAUUCUUUUCUCAUACCAAGGCUACUGCAUACGUUCCAUGAUUUGAUACUAGGAGGUCAUUUCGGAUUCUUGAGAACUUACAAAAGGAUCAAUGGAGAAUUAUACUAGAAAGGAAUGAAGGCCGAUGUAAAGAAAUACGUGGAAGAAUGUGUGAUGCAGUAAUUGCAAAGCUAGAAAUCUUUACGUAUAAUGCCUCUUUUUUGAUGAUCUAUUAGUGAAAAUGAGAAACCUUUUUAUAGGUUGGAGAUUACAAGGGUUGUUAAACUAACUUGGGGUUGAGUUAGUUUAACUUGGAGUUGAGUUAGUUUAUUUAUAACUAACUCAAGAUACAAAAUUGGUAAUUCAAAUAGCUAAUCCUAAACUAUAAAAAUGGUAAUUCAAACCCCUCAUCUAGGACAAAACUCAAGAAAUAUCAAGAAGGGAGAUGUUCUACAUCAAUGUGACAUAUGUCAACGGAAUAAAUUUGAAGCUACUAAACUGGCUGGGGUGCUGUAACCCAUUACCAUUCCUGAUAGAAUAUUGGAAGAUUGGAUAAUGGCUUUUAUAGAAGGAUUGCCCUUAGCCGGAGGAUUUAAUGUAAUUAUGGUGGUGGUGGACCGCUUGAGUAAGUACUCGUAUUUCUUAACCCUGAAACACCCUUACACGGCUAAAGAAGUGGCUUCUAUAUUCUUGGAUAGAGUAGUCGGCAAGCACGGCAUUUCCAAGUUCAUUAUUACAGAUAGGGACAAAAUUUUUCUUAACAACUUUUGGAAGGAGUUAUUCACGACCAUGGGGACACUUUUAAAGAGAAGCACUGCGUUUCACCCGCAAACGGACGGGCAAACAAAAAGGGUAAAUAGAUGUCUCGAAACGUACUUAAGGUGCUUCUGCAAUGAGCAACCAAAGAAAUGGGACAAGCUAAUUCCCUGGGCAGAAUUGUGGGACAACACCACCUUUCACGCAUCCACUAAGGUGACUCCCUUUCAAAUGGUUUAUGGCAGACCCUCCCCCUCCAUUAUUAUUGUUGGAAUUCUUUCCUUUUUUCUAGGCUUUUUCCUUGUUAGAAUCCUAGAAUAAUUAUGGAAAGAUUAUGGGAAUGUAUUCCUUAUUUUCCUAAAUCUUUUCCUUUUUUAUUCCAUUGUGUACUCUAUUUAUUCUCCCUUGUACCUAUUGCUUUAUUCAUUAGAAAAUAAUAACAACACAAACAAUCGUGGUUUUUCUCCCGGUACUCGGGUUUCCACGUAAAUUGGUGUGAACUCGUUGUCUCUCUUUUCAAUAAUUAUCUUAUGGUAUGAAGAAGUCACCAAAUAAUGAGGUGGAAACCAUGUUAAAAGAAAGAGAUUUAGCCCUCAAUGCCUUGAAGGAGAAUUUAUGUGCAGCUUAAAAUAGAAUGAAGAAGAUGACAAACCGGAAUAGAAGACAACUGAAAUUCAAAGUUGGAGAUGAAGUCUAUUUAAAACUAAGACCCUAUAGACAACACUCUUUGGCCCGAAACAAGUGUGAGAAACUGGCACCUAAAUUUUAUGGACCUUAUAAAAUUAUUGAGAAGAUUGGAGAGGUCGUCUAUCGAUUGAUGUUACCCCCGGAAGCUGUCAUUCACAAUGUGUUUCACAUUUCUCAACUAAAAUUGAAGCUUGGAAGCAGCAUGAAAUCCAACAUCAACAACCGAUUCUAAUUGAAGAUUUUAAACUGCAAUUGUGGCUAGAAACGGUAUUGGGAGUCUGCUGGAAUCAGGAACUAGGUGGAAAUGAGUGAUUAAUUAAAUGGAAAGAUCUAUCGGACAGCGAAGCCACAUGGAAAUCACUCUACCAAAUGAAUCAACAAUUCCCUAGUUUUCACCUUGAGGACAAGGUGAACUUGGAACCAAGGGGUGUUGUAAGGCCCCCAAUUGUUCACACAUAUAAAAGAAAGGACAAAAGGGUAAAUGUACAAGCAGCUAACGAUGAAGGAAUAAUGGAAAAAGAUCAUGUUAGUGGGGCCCAUGGGCAGGAACGAGAGAAAAAACCUCUAUAAAAGUUGAUGCUUCUAUAAAAGAAAAACCUCCAGUGAAGGAAGCCCAAAGGUCUAGUGAUUAGUAAAGUUAAAGACCAGCUUGCCUCAUUGCUUACUGUUCCCCGAUCAAUGAAUUUUUGCACAAGGUCUACGCAGUCCCAGUAGUUGUCCCUCUCGAUAACGACACUAACUUUAAGUCUCUCUUAUGGCAUGUGAACGAUGACAACCUGUUUAAGCCUUCUUCCUCUUCCUCGCUUGAUCUCUUGGCUUCAAAAUAAAGCACAUCUCACUCAAUCCCGUCAGUCUCCAAAAGUCACGCACAUUUGAUGAAGCCCUUCCCCAAACAUUUUACCAAAACAAAGCAGAAUUUUUCUAGUCUUCUUAGGCCAUUCCCCAAACGCUACAAGUUUUCAAGACAAAUUAAGCCAUAUCCCAAGCAUUUCACUAGAAAAAGGGGUACCAUCCUUGAUCCAACUAUCUCAGAGUCCAACCCAGAUCUGUAGAAGAUUGUUGUGUGCGUGCUCUUCUUCCACGUUCCACCAAGAAGUCAGACUUUACUCUACCUCCUUAAUAGAAUUUUACUUACUCAGUCUUUAAUCCUAAUUCGGAAGAGGCUGAAGACUCUUUUCCAUUCUCAAUAUUGCUUGGGUUUUUUAUGGCUCCCUUUGUUCCUUGGUUCUUUAGUUUCUGGAAGGUCCACCGCUUCCAAAGAAGCCUAGACCAAUAUUGUUUACUUUGUUUAAAGCUCUUCUCGCUAAAUUGUAGUUUGAGAGAAACCAGCGGAUUUGUCACGAUAAGGAAACACCAAGACCAGAAAUUCUUUUCUCUAGAGAGCAAACACAACUUGGUGUUCUUUAAACAAGGAGUUUGGGAAUUACUUCAUUCAAGACAUGUGCCUAAAUCGGGCAGUUUUCCUCUCCCAACCAAUCUUUAAUCUUUAUUUUGGUGCUGUCGCCUGCUUCUCUCAGCCGGUUUUCCCUCCUCUUAAGCAGCCGUUCUUUGGAGGUUAGUUUUUUAAUUUGUUUUUGGUUUUCACAGUAGCUGUUUUGUUAGGCUCAGUUUUUUCGUCACGGGUGGUGUUUUUGUAUUGCUUCUAUUUCUUUGCAUUUUACUCUAUCUCGGCCCUAUGUAUUUAAGUUGGACACAUCUGAUUAUUAUCUAGUACUUCGUCUGUUUUGCAUAGUGUUUUAAUUGAGAUAUAAUGUUUGGUGCUAAGGGGAUGUCCAGUUAGUUGAGAUGUCUAGAUGAACCUUUUGAUCCCGUCUACUUUUUGCUCUUUAGGCUUCUUUAUUACACUCAAUGUAUAUCUCUCUUGUACUUUGAGUUUGUAUUAUCAAUAAAGAAGUUUGUCUCCAUUUAAGAAAAAGACCGUCAAUGAGUUAAGGUCAAGAGUUAAUUGUUCUCCGAAGGUGAGACCCACAAACUUAGAUCUAAUGAGGGUCAAUGUUGGGACUUGUGAAGACAAUUAUAGAAACCUAUGAACGGUGUUUGAGAAACAAAACACAUUGGUUAGAAUGGGGUGACCAAUGUGGUACUUAAGUAGCUUAGCUCUCUUAUCCCAAUAGCUGGCUUUUAGAGUAUGGUUUUCUAAGGUGCUUAAGCACGUAACGGUAUCAGAGCCGAUUGUUGAUGUUUCGGAAUGGAAGCCAUGGAGUAUUCUAAUCGGGUGUGGCCGAGUGAAGUACCAUCGGAGUAGCCAUUGGAAUGUCAACUUUCAGGGGAUAGGGUAUUGUUAGGAACCAAGGUAGUAUGAGAUGCCUUCGUCCCACAUUGGUUAGAAUGGGAUGACCAAUGUGGUACUUAAGUGGCUUGGUUCUCCCACCCCAAUAGCUUGCUUUUGGGGUGUGGUUCUCCAAGAUGCUUAAGUAUCUAACACGCUAGCAAUGAAGAGGGCGAUGAUGGGACCGACAAACACGAUAGAAAAGAGUGAUGAAGGGAUUUGCAUACAAGAUGAAGAUAGCAUGCCCCUAUUGGUUGAAGCUCAUGAGCGUUGAUGAUGGUGAUGGAGAUUGAUCACAUCAAUGAGAAUGGCGUUACUAGAGGUGGAGAUGGUGGUUGAUGAAGAUGGCGGCCGAUGGGUAGGGUUAUGAUGACUCUGAUACUAUGUUAUUUUUAGGAGGACUUUUUUUAUUCGUCAAAUUGAUCUAGUAGUGGUAACUAUAAUUCCAUAGAAAUUCUAACUAUGGAAAUAAUAAAAGGAAAGGAUAUUUAAACAUAACAAGAGAUAAAAAGACUAAUAUUUUUGUGUAAUUGUACGUAUAAUACAAUAAUAUUCUUAAAUCACCAAUUCAUCGAAAAACUUAAGUUAGUGGUUGAACGCAAAUUUAAUAUGAAAAUUACAAAAGGAUAUGGUAUCUAACACUCUCCCUACGUGUGGGCUUGAAAUAUAAAAAAAGACCCCAGAAGUGGAAAUGAAUAUUAAAUGAGGGAGGAAACAAUGUUGCUGGGGUUUGAACAGAGGACUUCUCUAGACCGCCUGCUCUGAUACCAUCUUAAAUCCACUAAUUCAUCCAAAAGCUUAAGUUGGUGGCGAAGGCUAAUUUAAUAUAAUAUCUACAAAUAUGAACAAAUCUUCAUAUUGAGGUGAACAUAUAGUAGAAUUACUAAUUUUUCCUUUCGCUCAAUGUUCUGUGGAAUUGUUUGCUUAAUUGUAUUAAAUAGUCAAUUGUAAAUAUCAAUGUUGAAUUUGGGAAUCAUUCCUUUCUUCUUUCUGAUUAGUAUUGGAGCUUAUCAUUGGGUUGAUCGUAUCUCUUCAUCCUUACCUCUGUGGGGUCACAACAGGUAAUGCCUUUAAAUUGUAAAUUGUUUAAUUUUCUUUCUAUUCACACACACACACAAAAUCAGAAUUCCCAAAAACAUUUGGCAGAAAAUUCUCCUUUUAUCUCUCUAGGCUACAUCAAUUUGCUAUUAGAGCGACUGCUACUGGUGAGAGACCAAGAAACUCUUGUUGACAACAAUCGCGAGAGAGAGAGCUUUGAGUGUUGUGCUUGUUACCAAAAAACUCACAUCUAAUCAGAAGGAACCAUUGAAAUUCCAAGAAAGAAGAAAGUAGCCAAAGAUUUUUUCAAGAUUUUGCAAGAAUAAACUAUUACCGAUCAAAGUGGGAUGUCCAAAAAAAAUUCAGCAGUUAGUGUAGGCAAUAAAAUCAAUUUUACUUUAAAAACAAUGCUGGAAUUUUGAUUCAAGUGAUUCAAAAGAAGAAUUCUAACAUACUAAUUUUACCCAUGCUUGAUCUUCUUAAAGAACCUAUCAUUAUCCACAAUGCAAAUCUGAUUCUAGCGACUCCUGUGACAUUUCUAAGGAAGUUUGGGAUGAAAUACGACGGCAAAAUUAUCGAUUAAAGGCUCAACAACAACCAGCUUUGGGUUUAGUGUUAGCAGGAUUCAAGCUUGGAGUUGGGAGCAGAAUCACAUUUUGGAUGGACUUGUGGAUUAAUAAAGUCCCACUAAGAACCAGAUUUCCAAAGCUUUUCCUAAUAGCACAAUGCCCCAAAGGCUCGGUUUUGGAUCAUUGGGAUCAAUCUACUUCUUUGUGGUCCAUCUACUUUAGAUGACUUCUAAAGGAUGAUGAGAUUCUGGAGUUCCAAAUCCUGAUAAGCAUGCUUGCCAAGGAAAAGGUUAAGGAUUUUAAUGACAAACGCUCUUGGUCCCUUGAUGCAACCUUAGCAUUUAAAUCAUUGGUAAACCAUCUCUUCGGCAUUGCCGCUUGACACAUCAUUGAUGAAGGCUUCAUGGAAAUCAAAAAGUGACGAGUUAAUAUAUUGACAUGGAUUUAAAUUUUUGGUCAUCUCAACUAUUUGUUUUGCAAAGGAAGCUACCUUCCCAUUAUCUUUCUCCGAGCAUGAUUACACUUUGUAAAGGAAAUGGAUAAGAUCUUCGGCACAUCUUUUUACUGCAGCUUUGUUCAAAAUUGCUGGUUUUUUCUGUUUAAAUUUUUUGGCCUAAACUGGCUGUUCGGUAAAAUUGCCCACAGCAAUGCAUUACAGAUAAUAGUGAGGCCAAAGCUAAAAAAGAUUCAACAAAUUCUUUGGAGUAACUCGAUGAAAGCACUGCUGGCGGAUUUAUGGUUUGAAAGAAACCAAAGAGUCUUCCAUGACAAGGAAAGUACUUGGUUUUCUAGAUUCGAAGCAGCCUGACUGAAUGCAUUCUUUUGUCCUAAGGACCUUGGAGAUUAUUCUAGCCAAGAUCUUACUCUGGUUGUACUUUGUUACUUGUGUUUUCUAUUUUUCUGUCGACGUCUCUGGUUACUAAAUCAACUCUAAAGACUUCUUCUUCGCCAAUUUGACAUGUUGUUCGUACUUAGCGAAGACCGUGUCAAACAUAAAAAAUAAGCUAACACCUAGGCAGAUACACAUGUUUAAGAAAAUCCUAUUCGGUCAUUUCCUGAAUGUUAAGCUAGUGUUUAAUGAACCACUUUGCCACUACAUCCUGUUGAGAGAGGUGGAUUAUAAACGGGACGACGUAAUCAGUUUUAAAUUACUCAGUUAAAAGGUCUCCUUUGGACGGGAGGAUUUUGAUACCAUUAUAAGGUUGAGGUUUAGUCGAGACGUCCUGUUCAGUUUGAGGAGGAUAGAGCCCUGAGGUUGAGACGGUUGUACCUAGUGAUGGGUCGGAAUUGGAUAACAAGUACCUGACCCUUAAUAUGGAUUCGAUAGACAGUGAUCAUAUUUCGAUGGCUACAAUCUCUGCACUUUUAGUCCAUAACUGGGUGAUCUAGUAAACUAGUUGAGCACGGUGAUGAGUUAGAUGGUCUAGUGGACAAUGACGAUGAACCUCCAUCAAUGAGUGCCAAAAAGAGAAAGCAUGUCGUGUUAAAAAAUUGUUGCAUUAUUUUCGUCUCAGCCAAGUCAUACCUCGAAGAUGUACAAGUCGGUUACUUGUUUUUAA
rnacentral:lncRNA from 1 species